GACGAACGCUGGCGGCGUGCCUAACACAUGCAAGUCGAACGGGGUGAUACCUUCGGGGAUCACUUAGUGGCGAACGGGUGAGUAACGCGUGAGAAACCUGCCUUUCAGUGGGGGACAACAGUUGGAAACGACUGCUAAUACCGCAUAACAUACACGGACCGCAUGAUCUGUGUAUCAAAGAUUUAUCGCUGAAAGAUGGGCUCGCGUCCGAUUAGGUAGUUGGUGGGGUAAUGGCCUACCAAGCCGACGAUCGGUAGCCGGACUGAGAGGUUGAACGGCCACAUUGGGACUGAGACACGGCCCAGACUCCUACGGGAGGCAGCAGUGGGGAAUAUUGCACAAUGGGGGAAACCCUGAUGCAGCGACGCCGCGUGAGCGAUGAAGUAUUUCGGUAUGUAAAGCUCUAUCAGCAGGGAAGAAAAUGACGGUACCUGACUAAGAAGCACCGGCUAAAAUACGUGCCAGCAGCCG
rnacentral:rRNA from 1 species